ACAGUUGUUUAGCAUCUCUGCUGCUGAGCUUUGAAAGUUUCGAAAAGCUUUUGCUUAAAUGGAGGAACCUGCUUCUAAUGAGGCUCAAAUGCCUGCGAAUGAUGAUUUGAUAUACUAGGGUGGUGGAGAAUAAAUGGGCUCAAGUAUCCUACUUUGGCAUCAAUUGCAAAUGAUGUGCUUGCAAUCCCUACUUCCACAAUAGCUUCGGAGUCUUGUUUUAGCACAAGUGGGAGAGUGAUUGACUCGUUUCGAAGCUCAUUGUCUCCUAGGAUGGUUGAGGCUUUGAUUUGCUCUCAAAAUUGGAUAAGGUCCGAAGAUAUAUCUUCAUUGCAAUAUGUGCCAAGCAUUGAGGAGAUGGAGUUCUAUUAAGCAAUUGAAAUGGAAAUGGGGAGUAAAACAUCCACAACAAAUUUGAAUAAGACUCCCCCUUCUUAGUGUGAUGAAGAUAUGUUGGAAGGUUGCUUUGUUAAGGCUUUUGGAAGAAUGGAGGCAGCUGAUUUUUUGCAAGGAUAUUAUCUUUAGACUUUAUGUGUAUUUUUGUGAUGGGUUGUAAUAUUUCAUAAGUUUCAUUUGGAUUGCUUGCUUUAUUUGUAAGUUAUUUUUUGUAAUGGUUUGUAAGUUUCAUUUUGUAAUUGCUUGCUUUUAUACAUUGAAUUUGCAUGCUUGGAAAGAUGGAUUUUUAUA